CGUGAUAGCUCAGUUGGUAGAGCAAGGGAUUGAAAAUCCCUGUGUCACCGGUUCGAUUCCUGCUUAGG
rnacentral:tRNA from 1 species